rnacentral:ncRNA from 1 species
UAUAAAGCUGGGAAAAGGAAUAGUAGAAAGAAUCUCGUUUAAGAGAGUGUAUGGUUGGUGUGAAUACACACGAAGACUUUUGAACUCACCUUUGAGUUGUUUUACUGAACGUGCUACUUUUAUUAUAGUGCUAGUAAGUAAAACCGGUGACGAUCGUUAGCACGUUUGAGAUUAAUAAUAAUUUUGCAUUAUUAAUAAAUUUAGGUGGUACCACGUGAUCAACGUCCUAUGA